AUUGAACGCUGGCGGCGUGCCUAACACAUGCAAGUCGAACGAACGAAGGGAGCUUGCUCCCCAAGUUAGUGGCGCACGGGUGAGUAACACGUGGAUAAUCUACCCAUCGAUUUGGGAUACCAGUUGGAAACGACUGUUAAUACCGGAUACGAUCUAUAUUUAACUUUAUGGGUGAAAGGCGGUGCAAGCUGUCGUCGAUGGAUGAGUCCGCGGUGCAUUAGGUAGUUGGUGAGGUAAUGGCUCACCAAGCCUUUGAUGUAUAGCCGGCCUGAGAGGGUGAACGGCCACACUGGGACUGGAACACGGCCCAGACUCCUACGGGAGGCAGCAGUGGGGAAUAUUGCGCAAUGGGCGAAAGCCUGACGCAGCGACGCCGCGUGAGGGAUGAAGGCCUUCGGGUCGUAAACCUCUGUCAGGAGGGAAGAAGUGUACGGGUAGUAACUGAUCCGUAUUUGACGGUACCUCCAGAGGAAGCACCGGCUAACUCCGUGCCAGCAGCCGCAGUAAAAC
rnacentral:rRNA from 1 species